CUCCGUUUGGUCUAGUUGGUUUAUGACAUUUGACUGUAAAUCAAAGGGUCCCUAGUUCGAUUCUGGGAACGGAGA
rnacentral:tRNA from 1 species